rnacentral:tRNA from 1 species
GGAUAGCUCAGUUGAUUAGAGUGUGGAACACUAAGGUUGCAGGUUCGAUCCCUGUAUGGGACA